rnacentral:lncRNA from 1 species
CUUAUCGUCCUUGUUGAUUGGCUCCAUCAACAAUCCAUUGUUCUUCUCGACCAUUCUUUAGCACUCUAGCAACUGUAUGGCGAGCUGGUCGUCGUUAUUGAUGUCGGAGAAGCCAACAAGGCCAAGAGGUUGUUGAUGUUCGUGCUCUCCUCCCCAUGGUCGUUAUCACCGCUGCUGGGGGUGCCAUUAAUCAACAACCACAUUACGAACUCAUUCUUCAUGUUCAUCUCCUCCUCUUAAGUACACUAUAGUCAAGGACAACCACGACUAUACGAGUGGCAGGAGACAUAUUAGUUUACCUUCGUGUACUUUUCAUCUGUCAUAAUGAAACUUUGAAACUUAUAUUCCAUUUAAUUCUAUUUGGCAUCUUAAACAUUACAUGAACAAACUACUCGAGAUCAAAUAGUAGCACAGUAAAAAUACUACUUACAUCUAAGAGUAAGGCUACAUCAAGUAGUAGAAUCUGCAUGGCAUGUGUGCUAACCUGGUCUGGAUGAUGUGAGUUAACAAUAUUGAAUCCCUCUUAUGUCUAUGCUGCCUCUCUCAAACAUCUGCAACCAAAAAUAGAUGAGACCCAUAUAUUAAGACUACAAAAAUGAAAGAUGAAACAUGUAAGGGCAUUUGGGCAUAGUACAGAAACACGCUGACCAGUCGCUUUG